UACUGCAUUAGUUUUAUCAAAGUGUACCUAAUAAACUGGCAAGUGAGUGUACUCACCAUAUUCUCAUAAUAGUAAAUACUUUCAGUUAUUUUGCACAUUAUUUAAUUUAUAUGUUUUACUUUUCCUUCUAUUGUAUCUUCUUAAUUUGAAUGAUUUGUUCUCUUCCCCCUCUCUGCUACAAUUUCCUCACAGUGAUCAUUAAAGGGCCUUGUUAUCUUGUGUACACAUGUACACACUUCACACGUGUGCACACAUACGCGCACACUCCCAGCUAAUGACAAGCCCUCCAGCUGACCCGCUGACCCUCAUCAGAGCGACAAAGAGACAGAUAGUACCGGCAGGACAAUAAGAUGGAGAGGUUGCUCAGGGUGACGAGAUAAAAGCAGUGACACGGCAGCGAUGGAGGGAUCAAGAGCAUGACAGGAGGACAACGGGAGGAGUGAAGGGGUGGGAGGGAGUGAUGGCACUGAACUCAGUCUGGUGUGACUCUAUCCAGGUUGAAAGUGAAACGCUAAGGAGACGUUUGUUUCCUUUUUGGACCAACCACAAAUAACAAAACUUUAACAAGGACGUGAGCGAUGUCACUGCUUUCCCAGAUCUCUGCAAUUACACCUUGCUGUCUUUCAUCCACAAGCAAACAUCUGGCCUGAUGCUACUGAACCAUCAAACAAAGGUUGACUGUGGUGCAUGCAGGGUGAAGACUGCAGAGCGUCAGCGCUCAGUCAGUCUAACUGGACAGAUGAUCAGGAUAAGAGCAAGAAACAUCAUUCUGUCUGUCUUCAGCAUGAAGAACAUACAUUAUCAUCUCAUCAUUGUGCUGUCAGCAGUCUAUUCCAUCUGGGCCUCUCACACACACACACACACACACACACCGUUCUAUGUAGUUGCUCAUACUGUCACUCUGCACUGAUAAAAUGUCCAUUACGCUUCUUUCAGUGUGACAGACAACAUAAAGGUAUUUUUAGGAGUCCUAGCACCGCUUUAGCAUCCCUGCGUCGGCAGACAGAUUACAUAUCUGAGCUGAUCAUUCAUAUUCUGAUUAAACAUGGACCCACUAAAUGCUAUUUCUGAUCAAGUAGAUGCACCACAGCAAAAAAAUCUUCCCUUCCAUCAAAAUAACAUGUUGAAUAUUUUGUUAUGUUUAAAUUUGCUACUAUUUCACGUUCAGUGAAGUUGGUAUUUAGGAGCCACAAUCACACAUCUCAACUCAACUGAAUAUCAAGAACACGUCUUUAGUAAGCAGCAUUUUCCUCUUUCAUUCUUGUGAAUAACUAAAGAGUACGUUUUUUGAUGAUUCAUUUAUUUAUAUUAUUAAUUUAUUUAGCUAAAAUUUACUGUAAAAUACCUGAUAAAGACAAGAUUACCACAAAUGUUUGAAAACAUUAAAAGCAACUGCAACAAAUGUAACUGUCUGUCACAUACUGUGUAGAGUUUACGAUGGAAAAGAGGUCUUAACAUGUUGUUGUUACAGCUGAAGUUGUCAAUUAAUUGAUUAAUUGAUAAAAAGACAGAGAUAGACAUUAAUCUGGAAGUAUUUUGAUAAUCAGUUAAUCUAUUUAAAAAUAUUUGCUUGUUACAGCUUUUCAAAAGUCAGGAUUAUAUACUUUACUUUACUUUAUACAGUAUGAUUAUAAAUUGAAUAUCUUGAUCAGAUACAACAAGCAGUCUGAAUAUGUCACCUUGGGGUUUUUCUGUUUUCUGACUUUUAUAGACAAAACAAGUAAUCUAUUAAUGGAGAAAAUAAUCAGCAAAUUCAUUUUUUUGAAGAUAAUUGUUGA